rnacentral:rRNA from 1 species
UAUCUCUUCUCUAAGAAGAGUACUACGAAAAGAAAUGGCAGUGCUUAGGAAGUCUUUGCUACCAGUGUUUUAGGUUCUACCAACUACACUUUCCAGCAGCUUCCAGUAAGUCGGCUUGAAAACCCUUUUCAACGUUGACCUGAAAUCAGGUAAGAUUACCCGCUGAACUUAAGCAUAUCAAUAAGCGGAGGAAAAGAAACCAACAGGGAUUGCCUCAGUAACGGCGAGCGAAGCGGCAAGAGCUCAAAUUUGAAAUCUGGCGUCUUUCUUAGGCGUCCGAGUUGUAAUUUGAAGAAGGUAACUUUGGAAACGGCCCUUGUAUAUGUUCCUUGGAAUAGGACGUCACAGAGGGUGAGAACCCCGUAUAUGGCGAGGUGUCCGUUUCUAUGUAAAGUGCUUUCUAAGAGUCGAGUUGUUUGGGAAUGCAGCUCUAAGUGGGUGGUAAAUUCCAUCUAAGGCUAAAUAUUGGCGAGAGACCGAUAGCGAACAAGUACAGUGAUGGAAAGAUGAAAAGAACUUUGAAAAGAGAGUGAAAAAGUACGUGAAAUUGUUGAAAGGGAAGGGCUUGAAAUCAGACUUGGUUUGUAGUGAUCAGCUGUCUCUUGGGACUGUGCACUCGCUACUUACUAGGCCAACAUCAGUUUUGGCGGUGGGAUAAUGACAGUUGAAUGUGGCUCCGCUUCGGUGGAGUGUUAUAGCUUCUGUUGAUACCACCAGCUGGGACUGAGGACUGCGUCUUUGACUAGGAUGUUGGCGUAAUGAUUUUAAGCCACCCGUCUUGAAACACGGACCAAGGAGUCUAAUGUCUAUGCGAGUGUUUGGGUGUUAAACCCGUACGCGAAAUGAAAGUGAACGUAGAGGAG